rnacentral:lncRNA from 1 species
CCGAGACCUGUGGUCCCUGGCUUCGCCCCUCGCGCCAGCCAAGGCGCCGGCAGCUUUCCCGCCGCCGCCUGCCGGGUCCUGGCCCCGCUGCGUGUCCCGGGGGCCCGGCGAUUGGGCGCCAGGGGCGUCUGGGUCUCGCGCGGGCGCGGGAGCCGAGGGCCCGGCCGCGGCGCCCGAGAGGCGGAGAUGGGCCAGUGACCCUCGAGCCGUCCGUCCGUCGGGCUAGCGAGACCAGCCCGCCGCGGAGGACACAGAGCAGGGAGCUACAGGAGGCCGUUCCGGAAAACGCCACGGGCAAGCAGGAGUUGAUCAUCAGAUCUUGUAAGAAAAUUUACGGAAAAAAAGAUGCAUCUCGGCUCUGUGGAGUCAGACUUUCUGCGGUGGCUCCUGUACCUUUAGCAAACCUCGACUAUGGAACAGUGGGCCAGCCCCAUGGUGGGGUGGUUAAGUUCCAGCACUCCGCUGCCGCAGCCCAGGGUUUCACCAGUUCGGAUCCUGGGCGUGGACAUGGUACCGCUCCUCAGGCCACGUUGAGGAGGCAUCCCACAUGCCACAACUGGAAGGACCUGCAACUAAGAUAUACAACUAUGUACUGGGGGGAUUUGGGGGAGAUAAAG